rnacentral:lncRNA from 1 species
CACUGCAACCUCUGCCUCCUGGGUUCAAGCAAUUCUCUGCCUCAGCCUCCUGAGUAGCUGGGAUUAUAGGCACCCGGCUAAUUUUUAUAUUUUUAGUAGCGACAGGGUUUCACCAUCUUGGCCAGGCUGGUCUUGAACUCCUGACCUCGUGAUCCACCCGCCUCGGCCUCUCAAAGUGCUGGGAUUACAGGCGUGGGCCACCGUGUCCGGCCACAGUUCCUCUUUAUAUUACACCUAAACUUGCUCUGUGAGUUUGUAAGACCACAGAAUUCCAUAUUCUUAGAACCUAGAAGUGUUAUUCAACUUCUUUUCUUCUCUUUACACAUCUCAUGAAAGCCAUAUGGACUUCCUAAUAUAGGGACAAUUAUUUUUAAAAACCCACAGUCACCCAAUUCAGUGGAAAAAAAUUCUGUCCCUAUCCAUAUAUCUUAGGAUAGAAGCUGGGGUGAAUGAGAGGAGACAUAGAAAAGUGAGUCCC